AUUGAACGCUGGCGGCAUGCCUUACACAUGCAAGUCGAACGGCAGCACGGGAGCAAUCCUGGUGGCGAGUGGCGAACGGGUGAGUAAUAUAUCGGAACGUGCCCAGUCGUGGGGAUAACGUAGCGAAAGCUACGCUAAUACCGCAUACUAUCUAUGGAUGAAAGCGGGGGAUCGCAAGACCUCGCGCGAUUGGAGCGGCCGAUAUCAGAUUAGGUAGUUGGUGAGGUAAAGGCUCACCAAGCCGACGAUCUGUAGCUGGUCUGAGAGGACGACCAGCCACACUGGGACUGAGACACGGCCCAGACUCCUACGGGAGGCAGCAGUGGGGAAUUUUUGGACAAUGGGCGCAAGCCUGAUCCAGCAAUGCCGCGUGCAGGAUGAAGGCCUUCGGUU
rnacentral:rRNA from 1 species